GUGGGGAAUCUUGCGCAAUGGGCGAAAGCCUGACGCAGCCAUGCCGCGUGAAUGAUGAAGGUCUUAGGAUUGUAAAAUUCUUUCACCGGGGACGAUAAUGACGGUACCCGGAGAAGAAGCCCCGGCUAACUUCGUGCCAGCAGCCGCGGUAAUACGAAGGGGGCUAGCGUUGCUCGGACUUACUGGGCGUAAAGGGCGCGUAGGCGGACAGUUUAGUCAGAGGUGAAAGCCCAGGGCUCAACCUUGGAAUUGCCUUUGAUACUGGCUGUCUUGAGUACGGGAGAGGUGAGUGGAACUCCGAGUGUAGAGGUGAAAUUCGUAGAUAUUCGGAAGAACACCAGUGGCGAAGGCGACUCACUGGCCCGUUACUGACGCUGAGGCGCGAAGGCUAGGUUAGCAAACGGGAUUAGAAACCCGAGUAGUCC
rnacentral:rRNA from 1 species